AUUGAACGCUGGCGGCAUACUUUACACAUGCAAGUCGAACGGUGACAGGGUGCUUGCACCGCUGACGAGUGGCGAACGGGUGAGUAAUGCGUCGGAACGUGCCGAGUAGUGGGGGAUAACGCAGCGAAAGUUGUGCUAAUACCGCAUACGUACUGAGGUAGAAAGUGGGGGACCUUCGGGCCUCACGCUAUUCGAGCGGCCGACGUCUGAUUAGCUAGUAGGUGAGGUAAAGGCUCACCUAGGCGACGAUCAGUAGCGGGUCUGAGAGGAUGAUCCGCCACACUGGGACUGAGACACGGCCCAGACUCCUACGGGAGGCAGCAGUGGGGAAUUUUGGACAAUGGGCGAAAGCCUGAUCCAGCCAUGCCGCGUGUCUGAAGAAGGCCUUCGGGUUGUAAAGGACUUUUGUCGGGGAGGAAAUCCCCAGCGUUAAUACCGCUGGGGGAUGACAGUACCUGAAGAAUAAGCACCGGCUAACUACGUGCCAGCCGCCGCAGUAA
rnacentral:rRNA from 1 species